CUACGGGGGGCUGCAGUGGGGAAUAUUGGACAAUGGGGGAAACCCUGAUCCAGCAAUGCCGCGUGUGUGAAGAAGGCCUGCGGGUUGUAAAGCACUUUCGGUUGGGAGGACUGCUUCUAGCACUAAUAUUGUUGGAAGUUGACGUUACCUUCAGAAGAAGCACCGGCUAACUCCGUGCCAGCAGCCGCGGUAAUACGGAGGGUGGCAAGCGUUAAUCGGAAUUACUGGGCGUAAAGCGCGCGUAGGCGGCUAGAUCAGUCGGGUAUGAAAGCCCCAAACUUAACCUGGGAACUGCAUCCGAUACUGUCUAGCUUGAGUACAGGAGAGGAAAGUGGAAUUCCACAUGUAGCGGUGAAAUGCGUAGAUAUGUGGAGGAACACCAAUGGCGAAGGCAGCUCUCUAACCUGAUACUGACGCUGAGGUGCGAAAGCGUGAAAAGCAAACAGGAUUAGAUACCCUAGUAGUC
rnacentral:rRNA from 1 species